rnacentral:rRNA from 1 species
UACGUAGGGUGCAAGCGUUAAUCGGAAUUACUGGGCGUAAAGCGUGCGCAGGCGGUUAUGUAAGUCAGUUGUGAAAUCCCCGGGCUCAACCUGGGAACUGCAUCUGUGACUGCAUAGCUAGAGUACGGUAGAGGGGGAUGGAAUUCCGCGUGUAGCAGUGAAAUGCGUAGAUAUCGCUUGGAACGCCAACGGUGAAAACAGGUUGCUGGGGGUGUGCUGACGCUGAGACACGAAAGCCAGGGGAGCGAACGGG